UACGGGGGGGGGCAAGCGUUGUUCGGAAUUACUGGGCGUAAAGGGCUCGUAGGCGGCCAACUAAGUCGGAUGUGAAAUCCCCAAGCUUAACUUGGGAACUGCAUCCGAUACUGGAUGGCUUGAAUCCGGGAGAGGGAUGCAGAAUUCCAGGUGUAGCGGUGAAAUGCGUAGAUAUCAGGAGGAACACCGAUGGCGAAGGCAGGUCUCUGGGCAUUAACUGACGCUGGAGGAGCGAAAGCAUGGGGAGCGAACAGG
rnacentral:rRNA from 1 species